rnacentral:rRNA from 1 species
UACGUAGGGUGCAAGCGUUAAUCGGAAUUACUGGGCGUAAAGCGUGCGCAGGCGGCUAUGCAAGACAGAUGUGAAAUCCCCGGGCUCAACCUGGGAACUGCAUUUGUGACUGCAUGGCUAGAGUACGGUAGAGGGGGAUGGAAUUCUCGGUGUAGCAGUGAAAUGCGUAGAUAUCGAGAGGAACACCAGAGGCGAAAGCGAAUCACUGGACAGAAUCUGACGCUGAGGCACGAAAGCUAGGGGAGCAAACGGG